GAUGUCUAUGUGACCGAUGUCUACGUGACCGAUGUCUACGUGACCGAUGUCUAUGUGACCUAAUAAGUUAGUGUGACCUUACAAAUAUUCUAAAAAUGAGCUAAAUUUA